rnacentral:rRNA from 1 species
AGAUUAAACUGAAGAGUUUGAUCCUGGCUCAGAUUGAACGCUGGCGGCAUGCCUUACACAUGCAAGUCGAACGGCAGCACGGACUUUGGUCUGGUGGCG